ensembl:lncRNA
GUGGUGAUGGAGCUGUUGAGGCAGUAGCUCUUAAAUUGUGGCGCUCUGCUCGCUGCGCCUUUCUGCAAACUUUAGACUGCAGUUUGUGUAAAUGUUUUAUGUUGAACUUUGAAAUCUGUAAUUGUUUGGCUCCAGGGUGAUAUUGGGUUCUCUCCUGCCUUAUAAAGCACUCUAAUAUAUUAUACUUUAUUGCCUUUCUUACUUAGUGAAAUUACUUAAAACGGACAAAUGAAUCCGGAAAACACUAAAUGGUGAAUAUUGAAUUAGCCUGCCAUGUUGUUCGUUUGAUGAAGUUUCUUUAUAUUUACAGAAAAAACUGGCUGAAUUGAGUCCUCGAAUUGUUGACUCUGAAGUGAAGCACCAACAGUCAGUUUCCUCCGUCACACCGUUUGAGCAACACCAUUCUUUGAUGCAUCCUGCUGUGGUUAGAGGCGUUGAUCCUCUUUUUGGGGUUCUUUAUAAGCAGGCAAGGCUCUGAAGCAUUGAGCAACAGGAGCCGCGCAUGAAAGCAAUACCUUUCACAGCGUUUUUUAAUACACACAUGUUGUGUAUCUAGAACAUCCCCACCUGCCGCCACCACCAACCGAACUCACAAUGCCCUCCAUCCGUCUUUCCCUCUUUAUCCUGGGUUUGGUUGUGGCUUGUGUCUCAGGUGAAAAAUCAAAUACCACUUCAAACCCCACAAAUUCAAACUCCAAAAUUUCAAACUCCGAAACUUCAAACUCCGAAACUUCAAAUGUAAAUGGCUCCACUACCGCCACUCAAACAUCCCUCAACGCCAUCACCACCACCGGAACCACCACCAAUGCCACCGAUGCCUCAAGCUACACACCGAGCAGCAGCGCCAUCUCGCCCUCGACAGCAACGCAGACCGGAUUCUCCAGUUCAAGUGGGGGAAGUGUCAAAACAACAAGCGCACCUAGAACCACGGACAAAAUGACAACAACUACCACCAAAGUACACAAAAAGGAGACAACCACCACUGCUAAGCCAGCUGAGACGGCGUCAGUGGACACCACCGGCAUUAUCAUCCUAGUUGUGAUCGGCGUCGUAAUCCUUGGAUUUGGAGUUUGCUGCUACUUACAGCGGAAUAGAAGAAGGCGGUACUCUGUGGACUUCACCUCCAGACCGGAUGAAGCCAACAUCCCUCUCAGCACCAUGGAGCCCGAGUUACAGGUCGAUGCCGCGCCUCAGAACGGACUGCAAACCUUUGAAAGGGAAGAAGCUAAGACAGAGAUGCGAGAACCAGAGGCCAAGCCUGAAGCAAAGGAGGAGCAGAAAGGUGAGGCUGAGGAAUCUCACGUUGGUCCCGGGGCUGAGUCUGCUGCCCCGGCGGCGACCCCAGAGAGCCCCGCGGACGAACCCAAAGCGGCCGCCGUUGAGCAGAGUCCCCCCGCGCCCGUGGAGCCAAGUGUGGACGAGAAAACCGACGAAGAAGGCGACGUCUCCAACAAGACCUCUGUGGAGUCGCUGAAAGAGACCAACGAGAACAACAGCAAUAAUGCCGACUUCAAUGCGACUGGAGAUGUGAUCAGCAUCAACUUCUGGGACGUUCCUCUCAAUAGUCCGCUGUGAGACAUUUCACCUAUCUGUGCUGUUCUUCAGGAACUUGAUUGAAGGAGUGACCACGACGGAGAAGGGCACGUCUGCUCGUACCGUGUGAGAUAUUUAGCGGGCUGUUUUCUCCUUGUUAGAAACAAAUUUACUGCAGCAGAGCAGCUUUUUCCCAGUUAAACGUUAGCUGAACUCUGAGUUUUAAGCAUUUUAGUGAUUUAACGGUGACUAUUUAGUUGGUCUAUAUACUAAAUGUGAUUACGUUUGGUACUGCAGAACAGUAAUACACGUUGAAUUUCAUCUCCCAAGCCAUUCAGCUUUUAUAAACUUAUAUAAACAUAUUAUACGUGGUUUCUAACACACUGAGAUGUAGUUUUAAGCAGCCAUAAUUUACUCUUUUUGUGGAAAUAUAUUAAUAGAGUAAAAUACAUUUGUAUUAAUAUACUUUACAUUAAUCAAACCUAACUGAUAUUCUUUCAUCACAUAACGAUAAACACAUUUGUAAAUAAUGAUGUAUAAAUAAGCAAGACGUUAUAAGAUUGUCAGAUUUAAAUCAGUGUUCUUUCUUAAAUUUAUGAUGUAAUGGUAUUUUGUAACUCAUGCAUUUUGAUUUUUUCAUGUGUUUCCCAUUCAGUAGUGUGAAGGUUUAUGCUAAAAAUUGCAAUGAAUGAUGAAAAGUAUUGUAAUUUGUCUUGAAUGUUUUUUGCAAUGAAUUUCCUUUACAGUUCAUAGGCGCCAUCUUGGCUAAUCUUAACCGACCACAUUACGUAAUGAAAAAAGUGACACAAACCAGCAGGUUGUUAACUGUAAAACAAAAUGAACAAACUAAAGAUGGGUCAAUGUUUCUUUUUACCAGAAAUCAUUUUGCUUAUAAAAUAAAAUAACUUGAUCAACAUUAUAUUCAUCAUGUAACCUUCAAUCCACAAUUGUUAUUCACAUUUCUGAUUAACAUCAAUAAACUGUAUACUCGCACAUCUUUGGCCUCUAAAAAUAAUCACCAUACAGUUUUUUCUGCUCACUUUCACCAGCUGUUCUUUUAGAUAUAAAAAUUGUAUCUGGUAGUAGACGUGUACAGUCAUUAUUGCUAAAUAAACCUUCAACAGAUGGAGGUUGAAUCUUAUUUUUGUUUUGUUUUAUGCAUUUUAUUUUUUGCUUUAUUUACUGUGUUUCAGAAAAAUGAUCUUACAAUACAGCACAAUUAUUUGGUGUGUGUCCAAUUAAAUAUGGAUCUAGACUCUUGUUUAAUUUCCUGAGCCAAAUAAUAUUUUUAUAAUUUCCAUUUACAGUAAUGUGUUGCCCAGUGUUUGGGUCUGAUCCAGCUUCUAUAUCCAGCCUAUUUCCACAGGCUUCCGCUCUCCUUUACAGACAAGUGAUGCUUUAAUCCACCAGUAGGCGGGUGAAAUGUUGCACUGAGCCUGCGGUGCAGCAGUGACGGCAAAAGCAGGUCUAAAUGUCGUAUGCUUACCGCUCAAACCUGACCGCAGUCAUGGACACCCUGCACCAAAUCAUCCAGUGCAGCAGAACACAAACCUGUUCCUCCUCGGAACUGGAUCCAAAUGUCUCAGGUCUCAGUAUCCUCUAUUUAUAAGCUGUGUAUAUUUACAACGGGCCGGAUGAUCAGGACGCUCGCGAGUAAUGAAGAGAAUGCGGGGGGAACUUUUAUCUUCUUCGGCUAUUCGGAGGAGUCAGGGAGUUUAUCAGAGAUGAAGGAUCUUGCUGACGUCACUUCUUGUUUUCAAAGAAUUGGUCAGAGCUACUUUUUUUGAGCUACUUCCCACAUUCUGCAGUUGAUCUGAUAGUUAACUGCACCAUCAUAAUGUUUGACGCAGGAAGGCAAGGCUUGGUGGUAAUUCUAUACGUCACAAUAGUGACUGAGGCUGAGCAAAUAUCCGGUAUAUUUGUUGGUGUCUUAAAAGGUGUUGUCAAUGCAUGUAGCAGUGUAGCAGUUCUAUGAGCUCACACAUGUUCAUCAAUGUCUCUCCUAUGAAUGUGUCCGGUAGCGUAGCUGUGACGCUGCAGAGGUUUACCUGCACACUCUGUACUGUCUCCAGGGGCAACCACAAACUCAGUGACACAUAUUGAGUGCCCUGCACAGCUGGACUGAGCCCUUCAUCAGCUGUAUGACUGCUUGCGAUGCUCUUGAGUGAGAAGAGUUAUGGACAAGACCCAGAAAGUGAUGAAUGAUGAUUGAAACUGUUACCGGGGUAACCAAAAAACAUCCUCUAAAGCUUUUGUCAGUGUGCUAAGUUGAUGAAUAUUGUAAUGACUAUAUUUCCUGACUAAAUUGUUUAAAGUCAUAUAGAUAAUUUCAUAUUUUAUUUAUUUCUGGUAUUCAAUUAAUUAUUGAAUACCAGGACAUACCAAGACAAAUUCCUUGUCUGUUUGACAUAUUUUGGCAAUAAAUGUUUCCUGAUUCCUGAUUCCUGAUCUGAAUGUGGCUUUAUCUUGACAGACGUAAAAACUGCAAGAAGAGGAAAAAGAGCAAAGCCUGUCCUCUCCCUGUGUGGCUUUCAGGGUUACGGGGAUCCACUCGGGCUUUGUUUUCCAUCUAUCAUGAGGUUGUUACCGCCUGCUGUCAUCAUUGGCUGCCCCUGGAUGAAGAGUUGAUCCACGGGCAGCGCGGCUUGGAAUCGACCCAACUUCCCUUUCUGUUUAGACGCUCAUUAGAGGGAUGUUGCCUCUUUGACAUAUAAACUGGACAAAGUCAAACUAAUGGCUUAAUGAAUGCCAUGCUGCAGCCCGAGAAAAUAUGCAUUUAGUAGCUGUUUCCUUUUCCAUAUCAACGACCACCCACAGCUGGGGAGAAUUCAUUUCUUACACAUUCGGGAAUCAAUAUUUGCAUACGCUUUUUUAAAGAUGAUCCAUGUCUGAUUCUUUUAGUACAAAGGGUAUAAUUUUUUUGGGAAAACACUCCUUCUAUAUCAGAAGAAUGUGGGUGAAACCAGGAAUAACAGUAUAAAAAGUAUAAAAAGUAUGUUUAUUUAUAUAGUUACAGUACAUACUGUGGUGUGUGUGUCUCUGUUUUUAUUCUUGGCAGGUCAAGUGAGGAGGGCAAGAUAUAUUUAGGGGAUGCAAUGAAAAGUGUGAUACACAAUGUCUGUAUACAAAUGGCAUCUUUGCUAUUUGGCCACGCUUCAGAGUGUUCGUAGUAUUUUCCUAAAAGCAUUAUACACUCAAAUAAAAAGAAGAACCUUCACUAAGUAAUGAUUGAAAUUUUUAUAGUAGAUAUCAAACCAGACUUAGAUAAUUAUGUGAUUACGGUGUUCCAAAUAUUUUCAGACAAAAUACUUUCUUUCUUGCAUUCUUGUGUUUACAGAUUAUUGAUCAUAAGCACUUUAAUAGUUAUAUAGUUUUUAGAAAGAUAUUAGAAAAGGUAACUGUAUAUGAGAAUGAUCCAGCUAUGCAGUAAUACAUCAUGUGAUCAAGUGACUGUAAAAGUUAAAAAAGAAUGUAAACCAUUGUGUUUGGAAGAAACGUUCAAGCCGUGCACGCGGUCUGUGUUCGGCACAACUCAAAAGAUGAUCCAUAAAAGGCUACUAGGUAUUUUUAUCUUAACAUGACCUUGUGCACCGCACUCAGUACACAUUCUCACAUUCUCCCUGCAUCCAGUGCUUGAUUUCUCCAUACUGCGCUGUGUCAGUGUCACUGCAGUAAAAUCUUAUUCCCUCUCAAUUCUGAGAUACCCAAGAUUGGACACUGCAGGGUUUAGGUCUUAAGUCAAUGGACGGCCUUUGGCCCAGUGACGAUGUGGAAUUGUUGCUACAGAACUUAUUCUUCAAGUGCCUGGGCGGUAUUUUCAACUACGUUGUCCUUUCCUUGUGUGUGUGUGUGUGUGUGUGUGUGUGUGUGUGUGUGAGACCAAACACCUGUCCAGCCUUCUGUGUGGGACUAACGGCCAGUCCGGUGCCGAGCUGUCCCACCAACUCGACCUCAGAUGCACUUGUGAGAAGGACAC